UACAGAGGUCCCAAGCGUUGUUCGGAUUCACUGGGCGUAAAGGGUGCGCAGGUGGGUUUGCAAGUUCGAUGUGAAAGCCCCGGGCUUAACCCGGGAAUGGCAUUGGAUACUGCAGAUCUGGAGGAUCGGAGGGGGGACUGGAAUUCUUGGUGUAGCAGUGAAAUGCGUAGAUAUCAAGAGGAACACCAGUGGCGAAGGCGAGUCCCUGACGAUACCUGACACUGAGGCACGAAAGCGUGGGGAGCGAACAGG
rnacentral:rRNA from 1 species